rnacentral:rRNA from 1 species
CACGUAGGGACCAAGCGUUGUCCGGAUUCAUUGGGCGUAAAGAGCUCGUAGGCGGUUCAGUAAGUCGGGUGUGAAACCUCCAGGCUCAACCUGGAGACGCCACCCGAUACUGCUGUGACUAGAGUCCAGUAGGGGAGCGUGGAAUUCCUGGUGUAGCGGUGAAAUGCGCAGAUAUCAGGAGGGACACCAGCGGCGAAGGCAGCUCGCUGGGACGUGACUGACGCUGAGACGCGAAAGCGUGGGGAGCAAACAGG